CUUACCUCUGAAAUUUAAGGAGGAUCAUCCUCAUAUAAAUUGUGUUUUCUGAAUGAAACAUUAUUUUUACUUUAGCGUCAUGACUGAUUAAUGGUUGUUCCUGGUUAUUUCAGAGUUUAGCCACAUAAUUGUUCUAUGAUCUAAAUGCAUGAGAAUCCUAAUUGGUGAACCUUGCUAAGAUGAUGUAACAGUAACAUUCGGGGUAUGCUUAUUGAUUAUAAGAGUCCAGAAAUAAACUUGUUUCUUAAAGUUCAUGUCAAAUUCUCAGUUACCUUGAACUUUGACUUGUGUGGAAAUACCUGUAUCUAUGCAUGACAAACUAGAACUUAAUGCUUGUCUGCCUUUACAUGACAGUUAUCACGUAAAUUAGAAUGCUUAAUAUGAUUACCUUAUCAUUUCCACUAUAAAGAUUGAUUAAUAGUCCUAACACAUAAAAAACAUCUGAUUUUCAAGUUGUUUAUUUCAUUUGUUUACUACUGCUAGGUGAUGGAAGGUCUUUUGGACAUGCUAAAGGAUGGAAAAUAUCUUGAUACCUAUAUUGUGAUUCAAACUAUGAGAUGCUAUUUGAACUGUGAUGAUAUUGAUCAUGGUGUGCAAACCCCUGAUGACUAUCUGAAGUUAGGGAAGCUUCCUGCACCAGAACUCAUAACAUAAAUGUGAUAUGGAGUUGUGGAGUUGCUAAGAUGAUGUAUCUCAUAACAUAUAUGUGAUAUGUAGUGAUGUGAAAAUGCUCGUUGGGCUUUGCUGCUAAAUUUGGCUUAGCAAGUGUAGUUGUUCUAGGAUAUCAAGAAGGCGCUAUUAAGAGAAUUGCAGAUAAGGUUGCAGCAUAAAUGAGGCAAAGUUUGUAGACAAAAUAUUCUUAGGUUCUGUAUGCAUUUUUAUGUGGUUGCUUGAAGUUGGCAAUUGAUUUUCAUGUUUUACAGUUUGAUCCUUGGUACCAUAAUUAUUAGUGAAAUGCACUUGUUUCUUUCAUAUGUAGAGAAAUUUGAAGUUGUAAUUGAAUGGUUUCUGGAAUUUUAUAAUUAAAUAUUUUGGAAUAAUUAAUUUUAUGCAUCUUUUUAUUUAA